rnacentral:rRNA from 1 species
GACGAACGCUGGCGGCGUGCUUAACACAUGCAAGUCGAACGGAAAGGCCCUGCUUUUGUGGGGUGCUCGAGUGGCGAACGGGUGAGUAACACGUGAGUAACCUGCCCUUGACUUUGGGAUAACUUCAGGAAACUGGGGCUGAUACCGGAUAGGAGCUCCUGCUGCAUGGUGGGGGUUGGAAAGUUUCGGUGGUUGGGGAUGGACUCGCGGCUUAUCAGCUUGUUGGUGGGGUAGUGGCUUACCAAGGCUUUGACGGGUAGCCGGCCUGAGAGGGUGACCGGCCACAUUGGGACUGAGAUACGGCCCAGACUCCUACGGGAGGCAGCAGUGGGGAAUAUUGCACAAUGGGCGGAAGCCUGAUGCAGCAACGCCGCGUGCGGGAUGACGGCCUUCGGGUUGUAAACCGCUUUCGCCUGUGACGAAGCGUGAGUGACGGUAAUGGGUAAAGAAGCACCGGCUAACUACGUG